CCAGAUGUUUUUGAAAGUUAGCCGAUUCUCACUGCACAGCGUGGGUCACUGCAUCUGUGAAAACUGUUGAAAAGAAGCAAGUCUGUCUUCCAGUUGGAAGCUGAAGUCAGGACAUGAGAUAAAACCAACAGCCUGCUCCCAAACGAAAUGCCGUCAAGAGAAUCUUCCCAGGCUGGUUGCUUUCUUUGGAACAUCCACGUAGUACUUUCUCAGAAGUUCUGUCCCAGUCUGCCAAAUCCCAAAAAGUCAACAAGUACUCUGUGGAAGAUGAGUGAAUCAAAGUAUGACAUCUGAAAUAUUCUUGACUGACUGAACUGUUCUAAGGAGAAUGUGGCUGAGUGAAGAAAUGAAGAUGGGUGCUUGCACAUAAUUUCAUGAGAUAGGAGUAUAUUUCCUGUAACAGAGUCACAGAUGGUUACAUGAGCUAGCCUGUAUCCAAGCAAAGGUGUCCAAAGUAUUUGGACAUUCAGCCGUUGCAAUAGCUUUACCUUUUUUCUCUUUGGGAGUCAAAAUAGAAAUAAUUUUGAUAAGGAUUUUGUUCUUGUUUUUUCACUAA